UACGGGGGGGGCAAGCGUUGUUCGGAAUUACUGGGCGUAAAGGGCUCGUAGGUGGCCAACUAAGUCAGACGUGAAAUCCCUCGGCUUAACCGGGGAACUGCGUCUGAUACUGGAUGGCUUGAGUUCGGGAGAGGGAUGCGGAAUUCCAGGUGUAGCGGUGAAAUGCGUAGAUAUCUGGAGGAACACCGGUGGCGAAGGCGGCAUCCUGGACCAACACUGACGCUGAUGCGCGAAAGCCAGGGGAGCGAACGGG
rnacentral:rRNA from 1 species